rnacentral:sRNA from 1 species
CCUUGUUUUGGCAGUAACAUUAAUAAUUUAACCACUUAAUACAUCGCAUUUUAGCGGUUAAUUAAUCAUCUAUAUAAGGGGCAUCACAUGUCUAAUCAAACAACUGGUCUAGUAAAAUGGUUUAACGAAGAGAAAGGUUUUGGUUUUAUUACUCAAGACAACGGCGGUGCUGACGUAUUCGUUCACUUCCGUGCUAUCGCUUCUGAAGGCUUCAAAACACUUACUGAAGGCCAAAAAGUGUCUUUCGAAGUAGAACAAGGCCAAAAAGGUCUUCAAGCUGCAAACGUUGUAGCUAUCUAAUUUAUCCUCGUUGAUAAAUAAUAAAAAUGCUGGCUAUGGCCGGCAUU